rnacentral:rRNA from 1 species
UGAGGAAUAUUGGUCAAUGGACGAGAGUCUGAACCAGCCAAGUAGCGUGAAGGACGACUGCCCUAUGGGUUGUAAACUUCUUUUAUAAGGGAAUAAAGUGAGGGACGUGUCCCUUUUUGUAUGUACCUUAUGAAUAAGGAUCGGCUAAAUCCGUGCAAGCAGCCGCGGUAAUAAGGAGGAUCCAAGCGUUAUCCGGAUUUAUUGGGUUUAAAGGGAGCGUAGGUUGACAUAUAAGUCAGCUGUGAAAGUUUACGGCUCAACCGUGAAAUUGCAGUUGAUACUGUAUGUCUUGAGUGUACAAGAGGUGGGCGGAAUUCGUGGUGUAGCGGUGAAAUGCUUAGAUAUCACGAAGAACUCCAAUUGCGAAGGCAGCUCACUGGGGUACAACUGACACUGAGGCUCGAAAGUGUGGGUAUCAAACA